GUGAUCCUCUAUGUAGAAUAGCAAGACGCAGCAGAGAGAGUGGAGUAGCCCACGACUUCAGGAUCAGACUACACAGAGUCAUCACAAGAGGCAGAAUCACUGGCCUGAAGUCGGCAGAGGGAUGAUACGUUACCGCGGAAGACGCAACAGCGACGGCAGAGUCCUUCAGUUCAGAGAGAAGUCUCGGUCAAGCGUUGCUGUGUGAUCCUUUAUACACCUUGUGGCUGUCGCUGUCUCUACGACCCCUAUGUUAUACCUGACGUUCGGCAUCAGCACCAUGGACAGCAGUGCUGCUUGCUAGCCUCGUAUCAUCGAAUGUGUGACAAGCUAUGUCAGCCGUAAUGGACAGUACCCAGAUAUCACUCGGUGACGUCUCAAAGAGUUAAUUAAGAAUUCCACACAGGAGGUUUACGCUUUAUCAUAGCCGCGUGUUCUGCACCUUUGGCAGCAUAAUUUAUCUUCAUUUUAUAGAUGACAUGAGUGAUGUGUUUCCCCUCAUUAAUGGUCACUAGAACAGGACUGCAGAUACCUUAUGUCAGUGUUUCCCAACCAGUGUGCCUCCAG